rnacentral:rRNA from 1 species
AGCCUCCGCGGUAAUACCAGCACCGUGAGUGGUCGGGACGAUUAUUGGGCCUAAAGCUUCCGUAGCCGGUCUUGCAAGUCUUCCGUUAAAUCCACCUGGUUUUCAGAUGGGCUGCGGAAGAUACUAUAGAGCUAGGAGGCGGGAGAGGCAAGCGGUACUCAGUGGGUAGGGGUAAAAUCCUCUGAUCCAUUGAAGACCACCAGUAGUGAAGGCGGCUCGCCAGAACGCGCUCGACGGUGAGGGAUGAAAGCUGGGGGAGCAAACCGGAUUAGAUACCCGGGUAGUCCCAGCUGUAAACGAUGCAGACUCGGUGAUGGGCCGGCUUCAUGCCGGCUCAGUGCCGCAGGGAAGCCGUUAAGUCUGCCGCCUGGGGAGUACGGUCGCAAGACUGAAACUUAA